GGCCCGCGGCCCAUCAGGUAGUUGGUGAGGUAAUGGCUCACCAAGCCGAUGACGGGUAGCUGGUCUGAGAGGACGAUCAGCCACACUGGCACUGAGAUACGGGCCAGACUCCUACGGGAGGCAGCAGUGAGGAAUAUUGUGCAAUGGGCGAAAGCCUGACACAGCGACGCCGCGUGGGCGACGAAGGCCUUCGGGUCGUAAAGCCCUUUUGGCAGGGACGAGUGAGGACGGUACCUGUCGAAUAAGUCUCGGCUAACUACGUGCCAGCAGCCGCGGUAAAACGUAGGAGGCGAGCGUUAUCCGGAUUCACUGGGCGUAAAGCGCGCGUAGGCGGUUUGGUAAGUCGGACGUGAAAGCCCCUGGCUCAACUGGGGGAGGCCGUUCGAUACUGCCAGGCUUGAGGGUGAGAGAGGAGAGUGGAAUUCCCGGUGUAGCGGUGGAAUGCGUAGA
rnacentral:rRNA from 1 species